ACACUUGUUGGUUCCUUGCUUUUUGCUGUAGCUUGUGUUGUUUUAUCUGCACCAGUGACAGAUGGACAAGACUCAGAUGACAGAGCAGCUCCAGUCAUAGCAUUCAUCAAUGGAGAAAACCGUGAUGAUCAGACCCCUACAAGUCCAGCCCAAGGAGUCUCAGAUGGGAAAGACUCAGCUGAGGACGUUACAGGUGCAGACUCAGCUGACACCACAAAUCAG